AACCUUGCACUGGAGUAUAUCCACACCUGUGAAGUAAUAACUGAGGCUGGAUUAUUGCUGAUUGAAAACUUUUUACCAAUCACCGCGAGACGACUAAACCCUUUGAGGGAGUCGGCUUCGCAAUUUUUGGAACGACCUCUGGUC
rnacentral:snRNA from 1 species